UCGUUGCGAUCAGAAUUCAUCCCUACUAACAUCGGUUGAUCUGGUAACAGCUGAGGAACGAGGACGCAUUCAUCAAUUUUUUCAAAAAUGCGUGUCUCGAUUAAAAGGAUCCGAUCAAAAACUGUCGCAGGUAACGAAUAUGCAGACUCUAUUGAAGAGAGGUAUUGGCGUCCACCACAGUGGCAUAUUGCCGAUUUUGAAAGAGGUAGUAGAGAUGCUCUUCCAGGAAGGACUCGUUAAGCUUCUCUUGUGCCACCGAGACUUUUGCAAUGGGCGUUAACAUGCCGGCAAGAACGGUUGUGUUUGAUACUAUCCGCAAACACGAUGGAAC